GGGCUCUUGACACAGGGGUAGCACACACGCUUUGCAUGUGUGAGGUCAUGGGUUCAAAUCCCAUAGUGUCCA
rnacentral:tRNA from 1 species